rnacentral:lncRNA from 1 species
CACAAUAUUUGGCAUAACUUUUUUUGAAUCAAGAAGCUCGUUUUGAUCAGUUUAGAAAAUUAAAAGGUUUAAAUAGAGAUAAGCGCUAGAAAAAGAAUGAGCUAAAACAAAAGAAGGCAGAGACACCAACAAAAAGCUUUGAAGUUAAUGAAGGUGAAGAGGAGGCAGAUAACUAUAAAAAUCUUUGCAGCUAAAGACAGUGAAGAGAAGGCAGAGAAGCCAAUAAAAACCAUUGUAGAUUAAGAUAGUGAAGAGAUAGUAAAUACAAAAAAAAGCUACAUAGUUGAUGAUACAGAAGAAUCGAAUCGAAGUACUGUAGCCAGCUGGGCUACUCUCACUGGAUGAAUUGCCAAUCAAAACUGAUUUAAUACGAAGACGGCAUAAGAUAAUCGAACCAGGUAAUAAAACAAUUCACUCUAUGGACCCUAUGGGAGAACAGACAAAUUCCAUCAAAAAAGAAGAAGUGAAAUGGAAUUGUUACUUACAACAAAGAUAUGGUGUUUCAGAAAAGUUUGAAAUAUUAACAUUACCACAUGCCAUACGAGCUGAAGUUUGCUGAAAGUUAUACAAAUGGAGAAGUAUUGGUGCGUGUCUUUCCACAUGAAGAAGUUAAUGCAUACAGAAAGAGAGAUAAAGGAGGUCAGAAGAGUUAGCAGAAUAGUUUGUGUCGCAUUUGUGGAAGUGAAAUUGGUCCAAAAACUAGAAAAAAUCAAAAAAAAAUUAAAUGAGUAAAAUGUGAUAUAUGCAUUUAAAUCGAUGGUACCGUAUGAGAUGCAUUGUUUUUAGAAAUGAAACUUUAUUUUGUUGUGAACAUAUUUAUGUACAAAUUUAUUAAAUAUAUAUAU